rnacentral:lncRNA from 1 species
UCAUGAAGAGUGAUCUUUUAAUCUGAGCCUUUAAGAUUUAAGUCGAGUUCACACUUGAUUCCAUUUAUCUUCUAAUUUGGACUCUUGAUUGGAGAGGCUGCUUCUUGAUCCUUGAUCUUUAAGUCGCGUUCACACUGAAAUGAGAGCUGGUUGCCUGGUUCACUCAAAUCUGAUCCGAUUUGAGUUCAAUUUGAAUCGUAUGAACUCAAACUCUCCA